CAGUGUUCGGAUUUACUGGGCGUAAAGCGCACGUAGGCGGAUCUUUAAGUCAGAGGUGAAAUCCCAAGGCUCAACCUUGGAACUGCCUUUGAUACUGGGGAUCUUGAGUCCGGGAGAGGUGAGUGGAACUGCGAGUGUAGAGGUGAAAUUCGUAGAUAUUCGCAAGAACACCAGUGGCGAAGGCGGCUCACUGGCCCGGUACUGACGCUGAGGUGCGAAAGCGUGGGGAGCAAACAGG
rnacentral:rRNA from 1 species